CGCCUUUAUCUUCUCCCUUCCACAACUUCACCCCUUUCUACCAUCCAAUCGCCGCUUGCAAAAACACUACUUCACCCUCUCAUUCUUACACUUCACCCUCCCUUCCACCUUUCUAAACACCAUGUGAACCUCCCUCCCUCACUAAAAACAGCUUGCACCAUGUAAACAACACACUUUAACACAGUCAUAAAUCACCUUUC
rnacentral:lncRNA from 1 species